rnacentral:rRNA from 1 species
UGCAAGUCGAGCGGUAAGGCCUUUCGGGGUACACGAGCGGCGAACGGGUGAGUAACACGUGGGUGAUCUGCCCUGCACUCUGGGAUAAGCUUGGGAAACUGGGUCUAAUACCGGAUAUGACCGCAUGCCGCAUGGUGUGUGGUGGAAAGAUUUAUCGGUGCAGGAUGGGCCCGCGGCCUAUCAGCUUGUUGGUGGGGUAAUGGCCUACCAAGGCGACGACGGGUAGCCGACCUGAGAGGGUGACCGGCCACACUGGGACUGAGACACGGCCCAGACUCCUACGGGAGGCAGCAGUGGGGAAUAUUGCACAAUGGGCGGAAGCCUGAUGCAGCGACGCCGCGUGAGGGAUGAAGGCCUUCGGGUUGUAAACCUCUUUCAGCAGGGACGAAGCGUGAGUGACGGUACCUGCAGAAGAAGCACCG